rfam:Ordospora colligata OC4 contig_05, whole genome shotgun sequence.
GGCGCCAUGGUCCAGUGGUAAGAUACGUGCUUCGGGUGCAUGAGACUCGAGUUCGAUUCUCGAUGGUGCCC